ACUGUCAUAUAGUCACACACCCAGGAGUAUGGUGGUAGAAGAACACCAGAUGCCUCUACCUGCAGUCCUGAUCUUACAGGUGUGGUUGCCCAGUAAGAUUCAUUCUUCUGAUUGACCUUUCCAAGCAGCCAGAUGUUCUCACUUAUUGCUCCUCCAAUUGAUUUAUUUUGUAAAGUUGUUAACACUUAUGUCUGAAGAGAAGCGGACAGGAGGAUUACAUGUUUCCUGUGAAAU